rnacentral:misc_RNA from 1 species
CGAAUCAAGGGAAGCGUGCCGGUGCAGGCAAGAGACCACCGUAAGCGUCGAUGCAACUAGAUAAGCGCCGAUUCACAUCAGCGCGACUACGCUCUCGCUGCCUAAGCGACGGCUAGUCUGUCGGACCGGGAACGCCCUCGCCCCGGACCCCGGCAUCAGCUAGAGGGAUCAACCGAUGAGUUCGGUCGCGGGGCUCAUCGGGACAUCAACAGCGACUGGGAUCGUCAUCCUGGCUAGUUCGCGUGACCAGGAGAUCCGAGCAGAGACAUAGCGGACUGCGCACGGAGAAGCCUUGAGGGAAUGCCGUAGACCCCGGGUUCGAUUCCC